rnacentral:lncRNA from 1 species
GGGAAGUGGGGGACGUGGGACGAAGGCAGUGUGCCCACGUCAACAAGUGCCAGGGAUGGGAGAAUGUGGUGUAAUGAAGGAAGGACUGGGACUAGCAGAAAUCCGCGGCUAACGGCUAAAUCCCUCUGAAAACAAUUAAAGUGCUGCCGUUCCCUUAGCAAACCGCCUGGGCUUCUGAAGCGUCCUGUUGUUCACUUUGUUAUGGUCGCCUCCACUUUUUUUUUGGAGAGGGAUUGUGCUGUUGAUGUGCCGGGGGCUUGGCUGUGCUGAUCGGAUCUGCGCGAUAAGCCUCCACCCUCUCUUUGUCCGCGAGCCAGGCGAGACAUGAGCAGUAAGCCCACUGGGUCAACUGAGGACAAGAUGUCUGUCCGAUACCUGAAAGGGAAGAUCAAGACUCAGCACAUGCUUGAGGGAUCAUAUAAACAACCCAUAAACACACUCGGCUUGUAUGCAGCACAUGCUGAGAUCAGAGAUGAAGAGAGAAAUCCAUAUUGACUGCUCUGCAUUGACUCAAAUCAAGUUUCCUUACAAGGAUGCCACCAGCAGAUCACAGGAAAUGAUUCACUCUCUUUCUGUCCAGAUGAGACAGAAAGACGUGGAUGAACUAGGGAGCGAAAGAAAGGAGCAGGAAGAAGUGGAUGAACUGGGGAGUGAACGAAAGGACUGAGUUGUGUGAAAAACAUUAUAGCACACUACAUGAAACACAGUGCUUGUGUCUGUAAAUGACAACUGAAAUGAAUUUAUAAAUACAUUCUCUUCAUGGAUGAAAUAACUCAAACUUUUCUUCUUUCUUCCUCAUUUCCCUUUUCUUUGGAACCUGCCGCUAGGCUGACAUGAUUAUUUUAUGUAAUGACUUUCUUUGGAGUUGAUUUGCACUGGUGAUUGAGCUUCACUUCCUCCAGACCUUAUUUUAUUCUCACAGCAUUCUCACUCACCCUAAUGGUUGCACUGACGCUUUGCUGCAGACUACUUGUGUUUCUCUUUUCCAGCAGAUUUUUUAAAUGAUUCAAACCGGUUCUAUUUGAUAACAAAAUAAGAUGUGAUCCAGUGCCAUUGAUUUGUAUACUAAGCAUUACAGGGAACAGUACACAGAAAUCCACUGUCCAUGCCCAUGUUUUCUCUGUCUUGAUUUUUUAAAAGAUAAAUCUUGUCAAACAUUAGAGAUGGAGUAUAACAUUGUGGCCUCGAUAUGAUCUCAACAAUUAAAAUAUAUUUUUGUAAAUUGGCUUUAAGAAAAUGGAC